CAACCCUCAAGCCCUGCUUGGUGUUGGGGCCCUACGGCUGCCGUAGGCCCUGAAAGGAAGUGGCGGGCUCGCUACAACUCCGAGCGUAGUAAUUCAUUAUCUCGCUAGGGAGGUGCGGCGUGCUCCUGCCGUUAAAGACCCCAUCUUUAACCAAGG
rnacentral:misc_RNA from 1 species